AGUGAACGCUGGCGGUAGGCCUAACACAUGCAAGUCGAACGGCAGCACAGUAAGAGCUUGCUCUUACGGGUGGCGAGUGGCGGACGGGUGAGGAAUACAUCGGAAUCUACUUUUUCGUGGGGGAUAACGUAGGGAAACUUACGCUAAUACCGCAUACGACCUACGGGUGAAAGCAGGGGAUCUUCGGACCUUGCGCGAUUGAAUGAGCGGAUGUCGGAUUAGCUAGUUGGCGGGGUAACGGCUCACCAAGGCGACGAUCCGUAGCUGGUCUGAGAGGAUGAUCAGCCACACUGGAACUGAGACACGGUCCAGACUCCUACGGGAGGCAGCAGUGGGGAAUAUUGGACAAUGGGCGCAAGCCUGAUCCAGCCAUACCGCGUGGGUGAAGAAGGCCUUCGGGUUGUAAAGCCCUUUUGUUGGGAAAGAAAAGCAGCAGGUUAAUACCCCGCUGUUCUGACGGUACCCAAAGAAUAAGCACCGGCUAACUUCGUG
rnacentral:rRNA from 1 species